ensembl:lncRNA
AUGAAUGAGAGAGAAAAUGUCCCAAGGUUGUCACUUAAAAUCUGUUAUGAUCUCAUUCUUUAAAAUGCUAAAUAUAGGCCGAUUAAAAUGAUUUGUACAGCACUUUUAACAAUGGACAUUGUCACAAAGCAGCUUCUCAGAAAUAUAUCAAUUCUGUACAUUUUUAUGAAUUUAAAUUAACCUACUUUGGCAACUACAGUAUUUGGUUAUCUGUGACAUGCAGUGGUACAGCAGGUAGUUUUCCUGACAGCUCCAGGGUUCCCCGUUCAAUCCUGAGCUCUGUUUACUGUCUGUACCUAUUUUCUCUGCAUGUUCUCCCCAUGUCUCUCUGUGUGUGUUUCCUCUGGGUUCUAUUUUAUUUUCUUCCAUCUCCCAAAACAUAUGCAGUGGCUAAGAAAAAUUGCCCUUAGGUGUGAAUGUGUUUACAUGGAGCCCUGUGAUGGACUGGUGAUCCAUCCAGAGUGUAUUCCCACCUCAUGCCCAGUGUUCCUGGCUGGGACAAACUUCCUAUGACCCCUAAUUACCUUUUUCCUUUCGCUAAUGUAAAAUUGAUAAUGAUGGGCACAUAUUUUCAUGUCCAGCUGUCAGUUAUAAUUAAUCUAACAUUUACAAAAGUGAAAUGUGGAAUUUAAACCCCUUAUAAAUGUGUUAUGCAUCCAACAACCAUGUCUGGUAUUCAUUUCCAAUCUAUUUGGUUUUUCAUUAAGUUUAGGCAAAUUUAAGUUAGUGAAAUUACUAUUUUUUUAAAUUUAUAAUUCAUGGUUUAUAGCAGUGUCUACACAAACAGGGCUUUACAGCGUCACUAAUAUGUUCAGUUAGCAUGUAAUGGUUUAUACCCUUUUGUUUAUGUACUGUAAUAUCAAAUAAGGCUUUGCGGUGUCAUUAGCUAUUGUUUUUAUUUUUCUUUUCUCUCUGUAAAUCACUAUUUGGAUAAAACCUGUGCAAAAUAAACAAACCUGUAAAUCUGAAUAUAGCUGAGUCAGUGAAUCUUUUCAGUACAGUAACAGCAUCAAAAACCAAAUUCAGUAAUUAUUAAUCUGAAAUAUGUAAGUAGCACAUGCACAGACUUAAUUUACUCGGUUAUAUCUUCCUCUCAGAUGACAGAGUAGGUGAUGCAAAAAAAUUCACAAAAUGUUCACACUGGAGGGUAAAAAGAAAUCCAACAUUUUAUCUGUUCCUGUACUUUUGCUUGCCUAAAAAUUGGGUGGUCUGAUACAAAAGGUUCUAUGUUGUUUAACUCAUCUAGAUGUAAACAAUAGGAAAUAAAAGCUG